rnacentral:lncRNA from 1 species
UUGAUCACUCAGCAUCGCCUCCUCCACGGUCACCUGAGAACAGAUUCCAGGACCCAGGGGAGGGUUGCGGCUAAUGAGCAGAAGCUCGAUGUCAGACUUCUGGAUCAUCGGACCCAGGGUCUCUGCCGGCCACUCUGAAUUAAGCGCUCCUGUUCACAGGCAGAUGGUGCAGACCGUGCCCCUGGGGCUCAGGCAGGUCCAGAGAGAGGAGAGAGCAGAGAGCAGGCCCCGGCCUUUUCUUGUAGUACUCUUGCCCCUCCGCCCCUCCGUCCCCCCGCCCCCACCACCUCCGGGUGCAGUCGGACUCCCGAGCUUCGCGCUUCGCAUCGGAUAAAUCACUGCACCUCUUGGGAGCUCAGGGAAUGAGGGCCUGCGCAGCCGGGCCAAGGGCACCAGGACUUUCCACCUUAAAUCCCAUCUGGAAUGACUUGGGAGGGGGCCAAUGCUGCUGCCCUGUGACUCUUGAGAGUUUGAUAUAAGACGACCACAGCCGCCAGCUGCAGCCCACGUCCUGGGACUGGAAGAUCUCAUGAUUAGCUCUCCUGGCUCUGCACCAGCUGCCUAAGAAACGAUCCCCCUGGCUGCCUCGAGGAACGCAGGCCUCUGAGGGUCGGAACUGGACUGGGAGGCUGGUCAGCAGGCUCCUGCUGUCCUCUGUUGGGAGGUGACAGUGGCUAAGACUGGCAUGGAGGCAGCGAGGUGGUGGUAAGUGACAAAUUGUGUGUGUGUGUGUGUGUGUGUCUUUUUUUUUUAAUUUUUAAAUUUUUAUUUAUUUAUUUUUGAGACGGAGUCUUGCUCUGUCACCCAGGCUGGAGUGCAAGAUCUCGGCUCACUGCAACCUUCGCCUCCCGAGUUCAAGCAGUUCUCUUGCCUCAGGCUCCCAAGUAUCUGGGAUUAUAGGCGCUUGCCACCAUGCUCUGCUAAUUUUUGUAUUUUUAGUAGAGACAGGGUUUCACCACCUUGGCCAGGCUGGUCUCCAACUCCUGACCUCAGGUGAUCCGCCCGCCUCAGCCUCCUAAAAUGUUGGGAUUACAGGUGUGAGCCACCGCACCCAACCUAGAUUCUGGGUAUAUUUGUAUAUAUUUUGAGUGCAAAGCUGAUGGGAUUGACUGACAGGUGGGAUGUAUGGGAGUGGGAGAGAAGCCAAGGAAGAGCCAAGGCUGAUUAGUUGGUUUAUUUAUUCGGGUAAAAUUCACAUAAUGUUAAUUUAACCAUUUUAGAGUGUAUUCAGAGGUAUUUAGUACCUUCACAGUGUUGUUCCAUCAUCGCCUCUGUCUCAUCCCCAAACAUUUCCAUCAGCCUGAAAGGAAAACUUUGUAUGCAUUAAACAGUCACUCCUUCUUCCCCCUCCCGGAGCCCCUGACAAGCAUGAAUCUGCUUUCUGUCUCUAUGGAUUUACCUAUUCUGGUAAAUCACUUAGCAUAAUGUCUUCAAAUUUCAGCUAUGUGGUAGCAUGUGUCAAUUUCCUUCCUUUUUAAGGCUGAAUAAUAUUCCACUGUAUGGCUAGACCACAUUUGUUUAGUCAUUCAUCUAUCCAUGGAGAUGGGUGUUGUUUCCAUGUUUUAGCUACUGUGAAUAGUGCUGCUGUGAACAUUCAUGUACAAGUUUCUCUUUGAACACCUGUUUUUUUCCCUUUUAUUUACUUAUUUAUUUAUUUUGAGACAGGGUCUCUUUCUGUUGCACAGGCUGGGGUGCAGUAGCAUGAUCUCAGCUCACUGCAGCCUCCACCUCCCGACCCAAGUGAUUCUUUUUUUUUUUUUUUUUUGAGUUUCGCUCCUGUUGCCCAGGCUGGAGUGCAAUGGCACGAUCUUGGCUCAUCACAACCUCCGCCUCCCAGGUUCAAGCGAUUCUUCUGCUUCAGCCUCCCGAGUAGCUGGGAUUACAGGCAUGUGCCACCACUCCCGGCUAAUUUUGUAUUUUUAGUAGAGACGGGGGUUUCUCUAGGUUGGUCAGGCUGGUCUUGAACUCCUGACCUCAGGUGACCGGCCACUUCAGCCUCCCAAAGUGCUGGGAUUACAGGCGUGAGCCAUCGAGCCCAGCCCCCAGGUGAUUCUUUUACCUCAGCCUCUUGAGAGCUGAAACCAUGGACAUGUGCCAACACACCUGGCUAGUUUUUUAAUUUUUUGUACAGACAGAGUUUUGCCAUGUUGCCCAGGCUGGUCUCGAACCCCUAGGCUCAAGUGAUUGCCCUACCUCAGCCUCCCAAAGUGCUGGGGUUACAGGCUUGAGCCACUGUGCCUGGCCUGAACACCUGUUUUCAAUUCUUUGGGGUAUGUAUACACAGGAGUAAAACUGUAGGAUGGUAUAGUAAUUCCAUGCUUAACUUUGCGAGGAACGGCCAAGCUGUUCUCCACAGCAGCAGUACCAUUUGACAUUCCCAUCAGCAAGGUACAAGGGUUCCUCUUUUUCCAUAUCCCCGCCAACACUUGCUAUUGUCUGUGUGUGUUUUUUUAAAUUAUAGCCAUCCUGGAGGGUGGGCGGUGGUAUCUCAUUGCAGGUUAGAUUUGCAGUCCCUAAUGACUAAUGAUGGUGAGCAUCUUUUCAUGUGCUUCUUGGCCAUUUGUGGAGCCAAGGGGCUUAACCUGAGCAACCAGAGGAAGGAUGGAGCUGCAAAGAAGCAAGAUGGGGAACGUGGAGGGAGAGGAGGUCGGUUUGACAGGCUGAGUUUGAUGUCCCCAAAUGGAGAGGUCCAACUGUUGGAGGCCUGUGAACCAGAGCGACUCCAUGUUGAAUAGGAGCUGUGUAAAAUGAGGCUGAAACCUCCUGAGCUGCAUUCCCAGACAGUUAAGGCACUCUAAGUCACAGGAUGAGAUAGGGGUCAGCACAAGAUACAGGUCCUGAAGACCUUGCUGAUAAAACAGGUUGCACUAAAGAAGCUGGCUAAAACCCACCAAAACCAAGAUGACCACAACAGUGACCUCUGGUUGUCCUCACUGCUCCAAUCCUAUCAGCGCCACGACAGUUUACAGAUGCCAUGGCAAUGUCAGGAAGUUACCCUAUAUGGUCUAAAAAGGGGAGGCAUGAAUAAUCCAUCCCUUGUUUAGUAGAUCAUCAAGAAAUAACCAUAAAAAUAGGCAACCAGCAGCCCUUGGGGCUGCUCUGUCUAUAGAGUAGCCAUUAUUUUAUUCCACGACAUUUUUUUUUUUUUUUGAGACGGAGUCUCGCUGUGUCGCCCAGGCUGGAGUGCAGUGGCGUGAUCUUGGCUCACUGCAACAUCCACCUCCCAGGUUUAAGUGAUUCUCCUGCCUCAGCCCCCCAAGUAGCUGGGAUUACAGGUGCCCGCCACCAUACCUGGCUAAUUUUUCUUUUUUUUCUUGUUUUUUUGAGACGGAGUCUCACUCUGUUGGCCAAGCUGGAGUGCAGUGGCGCGAUCUCGGUUCAUGGCAACUUCCACCUCCCAGGUUCAAGCGAUUCUCCUGCCUCAGCGUCCCGAGUAGCUGGGACUACAGGUGCAUGCCACCAUGCCCAGCUAAUUUUUUGUAUUUUUAGUAGAAACGGAUUUCAACAUGUUGGCCAGGCUGGUUUCACACUCCUGACCUCAGGUGAACUGCCCGCCUCGGUCUCCCAAAGUGCUGGGAUUACAGGCAUGAGCCACUGCCCCCGACCUAAUUUUUGUAUUUUUAGUAGAGAUGGGGUUUCACCAUGUUGGCCAGGCUGGUCUCGAACCCCUGACCUCAGGUGAUCCACCCACCUCGGCCUCCCAAAGUGCUGGGAUUACAGGCGUGAACCACUGCGCCUGGCCAAUUUUUUGUAUUUUUAGUAGAGACGGGGUUUCACCAUGUUGGCCAGGCUGGUCUUGAACUCCUGACGUCGUGAUUCGCCUGCCUCGGCCUCCCAGAGUGCUGGGAUGACAGGCGUGAGCCACCACGCCUGGCCUAUUCCUCUACUUUCUUAAUAAACUUGCUUUCACUUUACGGACUCACCCUGAAUUCUUUCUUGCAUGAGAUCCAAGAACCCUC